rnacentral:lncRNA from 1 species
AGAAAUUCUUGGAACAGUGUGAGAACAAAUUAUUAAACAGUCUGUAAACACUUGGCUUCAUGAAUUGUUCUCAGCAGACCUAAGGUAACUCAUGCAAAGCAAUCUCAUUUCCUUGUUGGCAGGGUUACUUAACUGGGGAACGACAAUGGCCAUAGUAUGACUGAAUUUCAGCAAGGCAUUUGCUGCUUUGUGAUAUCUUUGUGGACUGGAAUGAUGACAUGGUUAGGUGAAUUUGAACUGUUUGAAUGACUGUACUCAGUUAUUUGUUAGCACAGAAAGGAAGGUAGGAUAGCAUAAUAGAGGGUGUGGGAAGGGAGAAGCUACAGUCAACAAUCCCAAAGGCUGUGCCAACCUCUCUCCCAUGUUGUGACUACUGGUAGCCACCACAGGUAUUUCAAAGGGGAAACAAAAUUCAAAUUCACAUUGUUGAUAUCUGGAAACCAGUCUUCAUCAUAGUGCACUUGAAGAUAAAGAGAGAAAAAAAGGAAACAGGGCUCUAUGCUAAAUGAAUAGCCAAGAAUCAAGGUCAAGAGAGAAGGAAAACAAAUGGGGGAAAAAUGAUUAAAGGAAGGCACUUAACUCCUGGGAGGCAGCACAAAGAACUCUAUAGAAAGGAAACAGUCUACAGAAAGCACUUUCACUUCAAGAGAAAGCUGAGAGGAAAGAUCUAAAUAGUAGAUGCUGAUGGACAAUCUGGAAGGAAGGAAGCUAUCAGAAGAUUUUGGAAAUGAUUGUCACUGACUCCUCUUCACCAAAGAGAUAAGUGAAUGUGACUGGUUUAAAAAAUGCUAAGUUCAGUAAAAGAACACUUGUGGAUGAAGAAAUAAAUCUAAAAUGUCUCUGUAGGACAAAAAAUAAACUUUGAUUUGGUUUGCUUUUAAAUUCAAGUCAUAUUUAUACCAAAACCCACAAGCUUCCUCUUAGUUCUAAGAGCAAAUACAAAAUCCUC